CCUACGGGAGGCAGCAGUGAGGAAUAUUGGUCAAUGGGCGCAAGCCUGAACCAGCAAUGCCGCGUGUAGGACGAAGGGGCUUCGCCCUGUAAACUACUGUCAGAUGGGUUGAAAAGGAAGCUAAGCUUCUGGAGACGGUACCAUCAGAGGAAGGGACGGCUAACUACGUGCCAGCAGCCGCGGUAAUACGUAGGUCCCGAGCGUUGUCCGGAUUUACUGGGUAUAAAGGGUGCGUAGGCGGUUUUGUGCGUCAGAGGUGAAAGGUCAGUGCUUAACAUUGAUACUGCCUUUGAAACGGCGGAACUUGAGUAUGAGAGAGGUUUGUAGAAUUCCUGGUGUAGCGGUGAAAUGCGUAGAUAUCAGGAGGAAUACCGGUGGCGAAGGCGGCAAACUGGCUCAUAACUGACGCUGAGGCACGAAAGCGUGGGGAUCAAACAGGAUUAGAUACCCUGGUAGUCCACGCCUUAAACGAUGUAUGCUUGGUGUUGGUGCAGUGAUGCAUCAGUGCCGUAGGAAAUCUGAUAAGCAUACCACCUGGGGAGUACGAUCGCAAGGUUGAAACUCAAA
rnacentral:rRNA from 1 species